rnacentral:rRNA from 1 species
GGAAUAUUGCCCAAUGGGGGAAACCCUGAGGCAGCAACGCCGCGUGAACGAAGAAGGCCUUCGGGUCGUAAAGUUCUUUUCUAAGGGAAGAUAGUGACGGUACCUUAGGAAUAAGUCCCGGCUAACUACGUGCCAGCAGCCGCGGUAAAACGUAGGGGACAAGCGUUAUCCGGAUUUACUGGGCGUAAAGAGCCCGUAGGCAGCUAUGUAAGUUGGACGUGAAAGCUCCUGGCUUAACUGGGAGAGGCCGUACAAAACUGCAAAGCUAGAGGUUGGAAGAGGAGAGCGGAAUUCCCGGUGUAGUGGUGGAAUGCGUAGAUAUCGGGAGGAACACCAGUGGCGAAAGCGGCUCUCUGGUCCAUACCUGACGCUGAGGGGCGAAAGCGUGGGGAGCGAAC